GUCGAAUACAUCAAAAAUUGUUUUGGCUAAAAAAACCAACCCAAACAUUAAAUUUUCAUGCAAAUUGGAAAUGGUCCAUCAGAACAUUUUCUUUGAUUCGCGGUGGAAUGAAACAUCUUUGUCCUUCAUGUACACAAUGUGUAAAACCCUCCAUUUGUUCCUUAUUGUCUUCAUUUUCUGUAUUUGGUGGAGACAGAAAAGACGAAAUGAGAUUUCUUUUCUUUAAAUCUGUCAUUUCCGCCUGUGACACCUCCCUCAACAAACCGCUGAUAAUACAAAAUUAAACCAAAUUAUGAUGCUCAUUCAAAGCUGCAGAUGGCCCCGCCCCUCCCUGAGCCUGGUUCUGCCGGAGGUUUCUUCCUG
ensembl:lncRNA